rnacentral:rRNA from 1 species
GGGGGGGGGGGGGGGGGGGGCGGGCGGAGGCAGGGCGGGGGGGGGGGGGGGGCUGGCUCCUGGGGUCGGCGGCGGACGGGGGGGUGAGGCCUAGGAAUCUGCCGGGUAGUGGGGGCUAGCGGCCGGAAACGGGCGCUACUCCCGCAUCCGUCCUGAGGGCGAAGGUGGGGGGUCUUCGGACCUCACGCUAUCAGAUGGGCCUAGGUCGGCUUAGCUAGUUGGUGGGGUAAAGGCCUACCAAGGCGACGAUCGGUAACUGGUCUGAGAGGAUGAUCAGUCACACUGGAACUGAGACACGGUCCAGACUCCUACGGGAGGCAGCAGUGGGGAAUAUUGGACAAUGGGCGAAAGCCUGAUCCAGCCAUGCCGCGUGUGUGAAGAAGGUCUUCGGAUUGUAAAGCACUUUAAGUUGGGAGGAAGGGCAGUAAGUUAAUACCUUGCUGUUUUGACGUUACCAACAGAAUAAGCACCGGCUAACUUCGUG